rnacentral:rRNA from 1 species
CCUACGGGAGGCUGCAGUGAGGAAUAUUGGUCAAUGGGCGAGAGCCUGAACCAGCCAAGUCGCGUGAGGGAGGACUGCCCUAUGGGUUGUAAACCUCUUUUGUCGGGGAGCAAAAGCCGGACGUGUCCGGCUGUGAGAGUACCCGAAGAAAAAGCAUCGGCUAACUCCGUGCCAGCAGCCGCGGUAAUACGGGGGAUGCGAGCGUUAUCCGGAUUUAUUGGGUUUAAAGGGUGCGCAGGCGGAAUUUUAAGUCAGCGGUAAAAUCGGGGGGCUCAACCCCGUCCAGCCGUUGAAACUGGGGAUCUAGAGUGUGCGAGAGGUAUGCGGAAUGCGUGGUGUAGCGGUGAAAUGCAUAGAUAUCACGCAGAACCCCGAUUGCGAAGGCAGCAUACCGGUGCACAACUGACGCUCAGGCACGAAAGCGUGGGUAUCGAACAGGAUUAGAUACCCCAGUAGUC